rnacentral:rRNA from 1 species
UCUAAGUAUAACCCGCCAGACAGGGAAACUGCGUACGGCUCAUUACACCAGCCUUAAUUUACUUGACCUUGACAACCUACUUGGAUAACUGUGGUAAUUCUAGAGCUAAUACAUGCACCAAAGCUCCGAUCCUCGCGGAGAGGAGCGCAUUUGUUCGCCACAAAACCAAGCCCCCAUCUGGGCGUCCAGUGCUGAACCAGAACAACUCAGCUGAUCGCACGGUCUUGUACCGGCGACGUGUCUUUCAAGUGUCUGCCUUAUCAACUUUCCAUGGUAGUGUACCUGACUACCAUGGUUGUGACGGGUAACGGAGGAUAAGGGUUCGACUCCGGAGAAGGGGCCUGAGAAAUGGCCACUACGUCUAAGGAUGGCAGCAGGCGCGCAAAUUACCCACUCUCAACGCGAGGAGGUACUGACGAGAAAUAACGAGACCGUUCUCAUACGAGGCCGGUUAUUGGAAUGGGUACAAUUUAAA